GUAGGGGGCUAGCGUUGUCCGGAUUUAUUGGGCGUAAAGCGCGUGUAGGCGGCUAGGUAGGUCCGUUGUGAAAACUCGAGGCUUAACCUCGAGAUGCCGACGGAAACCAUCUGGCUAGAGUCCGGAAGAGGAGAGUGGAAUUCCUGGUGUAGCGGUGAAAUGCGCAGAUAUCAGGAAGAACACCUAUGGCGAAGGCAGCUCUCUGGGACGGUACUGACGCUGAGACGCGAAAGCGCGGGGAGCGAACAGGAUUAGAUACCCUGGUAGUCCACGCUGUAAACGAUGGGUGCUAGGUGUGGGGGGUGUCGACUCCCUCCGUGCCGAAGCUAACGCAUUAAGCACCCCGCCUGGGGAGUACGGCCGCAAGGCUA
rnacentral:rRNA from 1 species